rnacentral:misc_RNA from 1 species
GAAAUGCGAUAAGUAAUGUGAAUUGCAGAAUUCAGUGAAUCAUCUAAUCUUUGAACGCACCUUGCGCUCCUUGGUAUUCCUUGGAGCAUGCCUGUUUGAGUAUCAUGAAAUCUUCAAAGUAAAUCUUUUGUUAACUCAAUUGGUUUCUACUUUGGUAUUGGAGGUCUUUGCAGCUUCACACCUGCUCCUCUUUGUUCAUUAGCUGGAUCUCAGUGUUAUGCUUGGUUCCACUCGGCGUGAUAAGUUAUCUAUCGCUGAGGACACUGUAAAAGGUGGCCAAGGUAAAUGCAGAUGAACCGCUUCUAAUAGUCCAUUGACUUGGACAAUACUUUUAUGAUCUGAUCUCAAAUCAGGUAGGACUACCCGCUGAACUUAAGA